UGGUGGGUAGUUUGACUGGGGCGGUCUCCUCCCAAAGCGUAACGGAGGAGCACGAAGGUUAGCUAAUCCUGGUCGGACAUCAGGAGGUUAGUGCAAUGGCAUAAGCUAGCUUGACUGCGAGCGUGACGGCGCGAGCAGGUGCGAAAGCAGGUCAUAGUGAUCCGGUGGUUCUGAAUGGAAGGGCCAUCGCUCAACGGAUAAAAGGUACUCCGGGGAUAACAGGCUGAUACCGCCCAAGAGUUCAUAUCGACGGCGGUGUUUGGCACCUCGAUGUCGGCUCAUCACAUCCUGGGGCUGAAGUAGGUCCCAAGGGUAUGGCUGUUCGCCAUUUAAAGUGGUACGCGAGCUGGGUUUAGAACGUCGUGAGACAGUUCGGUCCCUAUCUGCCGUGGGCGCUGGAGAAUUGAGGGGGGCUGCUCCUAGUACGAGAGGACCGGAGUGGACGCAUCACUGGUGUUCGGGUUGUCAUGCCAAUGGCACU
rnacentral:rRNA from 1 species